AAGCAUGCAAGUCGAACGGCAAGAUUGGUGCUUGCACCGAUCCUAGAGUGGCGGACUGGUGAGUAACGCGUGGGUGACGUACCCUAUGGAUGGGGAUAGCCGGUAGAAAUACCGGAUAAUACCGAAUAAGCUUGGCUUUUUAAUGUAAGUUAAGGAAAGGAGCUCCGGCUCCACCAAAGGAACGGCCCGCGUACUAUUAGCUAGUUGGUGAGGUAACGGCCCACCAAGGCGACGAUAGUUAUCCGGCCUAAGAGGGUGAACGGACACAUUGGGACUGAGAUACGGCCCAGACUCCUACGGGAGGCAGCAGCUAAGAAUAUUCCGCAAUGGA
rnacentral:rRNA from 1 species